rnacentral:rRNA from 1 species
GAACCGGAUUAGAUACCCGGGUAGUCCUAGCCGUAAACGAUACUCGCUAGGUGUCGGCCACGGUGCGACCGUGUCGGUGCCGUAGGGAAGCCGUGAAGCGAGCCACCUGGGAAGUACGGCCGCAAGGCUGAAACUUAAAGGAAUUGGCGGGAGAGCACCACAACGGGUGGAGCUUGCGGUUUAAUUGGAUUCAACGCCGGAAAUCUUACCGGGACCGACAGCAAUAUGAAGGCCAGGCUGAAGACUUUGCCGGAUUAGCUGAGAGGUGGUGCAUGGCCGUCGUCAGUUCGUACUGUGAAGCAUCCUGUUAAGUCAGGCAACGAGCGAGACCCACGCCCACAGUUGCCAGCGUACUCUCUGGAGUGACGGGUACACUGUGGGGACCGCCGCUGCUAAAGCGGAGGAAGGAAUGGGCAACGGUAGGUCAGUAUGCCCCGAAUAUCCCGGGCUACACGCGAGCUACAAUGGUUGGUACAAUGGGUAUCUACCCCGAAAGGGGACGGGAAUCUCCUAAAACCAAUCUUAGUUCGGAUUGAGGGCUGCAACUCGCCCUCAUGAAGCUGGAAUCCGUGGUAAUCGCGUUUCAACAGAACGCGGUGAAUACGUCCCUGCUCCUUGCACACACCGCCCGUCAAACCACCCGAGUAGGGUCUGAAUGAGAGCGCUUUCUUUGGAGGCGUUCGAAUUUGGGCUUUGCAAGGGGGGUU